rnacentral:rRNA from 2 species
AAACCACCAGGGAUUGCCUUAGUAACGGCGAGGGAAGCGGCAAGAGCUCAAAUUUGAAUUCGGGCACUUCCAGUUUCCGAGUGGUAAUUGGAAGAAGGCAGUCUUGGUGGGCACCCUGGUUUAUGUUCCUUGGACCAGGACGUCACAGAGGGUGAGAAUCCCGUGCGAGGAGGCUUUUUUGUUAUGUAAGGCGCUUUGGAAGAGUCGAGUUGUUUGGGAAUGCAGUUCUAAGUGGGUGGUAAAUUCCUUUUAAAGUUAAAUAUUGGCGAGAGACCGUUAGGGAACAAGUCCAGUGAUGGAAAGAUGAAAAGAACUUUGAAAAGAGAGUGAACCAGUACGUGAAAUUGUUGAAAGGGAAGGGCUUGAGAUUAGACUUGGUUUUGUUCAAUCAUUUCUCCUUGUGGGAGGUGCUCUUGGCUUUACCGGGCCAGCAUCGGUUUUGAUGGUGGGAUAAUAGCGAUUGAACGUGGCCCCUCGGGGUGUUAUAGCUUUCGUUGAUACCGCCUAUCGGGACCGAAGACUGCGUCUUUGACAAGGAUGCUGGCGUAAUGAUCUUAAACCGC